CAGCAGCCGCGGUAAUACGUAGGUGGCAAGCGUUAUCCGGAAUUAUUGGGCGUAAAGCGCGCGUAGGCGGUUUUUUAAGUCUGAUGUGAAAGCCCACGGCUCAACCGUGGAGGGUCAUUGGAAACUGGAAAACUUGAGUGCAGAAGAGGAAAGUGGAAUUCCAUGUGUAGCGGUGAAAUGCGCAGAGAUAUGGAGGAACACCAGUGGCGAAGGCGACUUUCUGGUCUGUAACUGACGCUGAUGUGCGAAAGCGUGGGGAUCAAACAGGAUUAGAUACCCGAGUAGUCCCUGUCUCUUAUAC
rnacentral:rRNA from 1 species